AUUGAACGCUGGCGGCAGGCCUAACACAUGCAAGUCGAACGGUAGCACAGGAGAGCUUGCUCUCUGGGUGACGAGUGGCGGACGGGUGAGCAAUGCAUGGGGAGCUGCCCAAUCGAGGGGGAUACCAGCUGGAAACGGCUGCUAAUACCGCAUACGCCCUGAGGGGAAAGGUGGGGACCUUCGGGCCUACCGCGAUUGGAUGCACCCAUGUGGGAUUAGCUAGUUGGUGAGGUAACGGCUCACCAAGGCGACGAUCUCUAGCUGGUCUGAGAGGAUGACCAGCCACACUGGAACUGAGACACGGUCCAGACUCCUACGGGAGGCAGCAGUGGGGAAUAUUGCACAAUGGGGGAAGCCUGACCCAGCAACGCCGCGUGGAGGAAGACGGCCUU
rnacentral:rRNA from 1 species